GGCGGGGUAAUCUCCGGAGGCUUUUACUAUUGAAGCAGCCGUGAUGUUUGCAGCCAUGGCGGAGUUUGUGUAACCAAUCUAUAUCUUGGCUGGGCAAUCCAGUUGGCAAUUGUUGUGUUUGGAGAUUCUCUCUGGAGUGAACCAAACGAAGGUUGAGACUUACCGUAUCCUGGCGGGGUAAAUAUCGGAGGUUUUGCGGUAGAAAUUGGAUUGUUUACCGUUGAAGCAGCCGCGAUGUUUGCAGCCAUGGCAAUUUGAAGUAUGAAUAAGUUGAAAGUGAAUUUGCUCAGAGGAAUGAGGCUCCGGCUCUUGCCAUUCGAUGUCCAUUUAAAAAAGAUUGUGAUGAUGGAAAUUAUUUCGAGCAAAAUUGGAAUUUACAGUCAUGGCGGAUUUCGACAGUAAAUUCCAAAGUAACAUAUCUGAGCCUCGGAACCUUUAUCCUUGGAGAUGAACAUCUAUCUACCUAGAGGUGCGCAUUUCGUUUUUUAAAUCCCAAACCGGUUCAGGUUGAAAUCGUUUCGGUUUGGGUCAACAAUGUUCAAAACUGAUAUUUGGAGAAACCGGUUUACAAGUGGAAAAGGAUCUGUUCGAUUUAAAACUAGUUCUGGUUUUUUACCAGUUUCAAGGGAGGACUUCUCAAACUAAUAAGUGGAAAAGGAUCGGUUUCGGUUCGGGUUAAAAACUGGUUCUGGUUCACAAACCGGUUUUUUUGUUCACCUCUGCAUUUACCUAUAACCGCCUUAAAUGAUGAGAUGAGGUGUUAUGCUCAAGUGAAUUGAGGCUCAGGUGAGAUGUAGGAGGUUUCUUAGAGUAACUUCCCUCUUGCCAUUUGAUCCUCUGACCGCCCUAACCAACUGAGCUACUCUGUCUAUCUUUCAAACAAACAAACAAACACUUGAUCUUCAUCUUAUUUUAUGUUUCCGAAUCUUAAUCUGGCGCCUUUGCUGGUAUAAUAUUCUUCUUAGGCGGUGAUGAUGAAAUUCUUUUUAAGCAAAGUCGGAGUAUGGAGAUCCGAUCCGUAUCUUGGCGGGGCAAUCCAAAUGGCAACUGCGAUUGUAGCCAUCGCGGAUUAGGGCGUCUUAAAUCCAACUACAACUGAUCUGAGCCUCUUAUCUAGAGGUGGCAUAUUUCGGGUUUUUUUCCCCAAACGGGUACCAGUUGAAAUCGUUUCAGUUCAGGUCAACAACGGUUGAAACUGGUAUUUGGUGAAACCGGUUUACAAGUGGAAAGGGAUUAGUUUCGGUUUGGUUCAUAGACCGGUUCUGGUUCACAAACCGGGUUUUUUGUUCACCUCUACAUUUACCUAUAACCAAAUGAUGAGCAAACUUGGAAUUUACAGAUUGGAUCCGUAUCUUGGCUAGGCAACUCGGUCAGUAUGUAUUUGAUACAUGCAACUGUGAUUGCAGACACGGCGGAUUUAUACAAUAAAUUUUGAUGAUAAUAUAUCUGAGCCUCAAAACCUUUAUCAUUGGAGCUAAGAAAAUCAAUCUACCUAGAGGUGCACAUUUUCCCAAACCGGUGGUCGGUUUGAAACGGGGACCAAUUUCACCAAAACUGUUUCAUAAUCGGUUUCGGGUCGGGUCAAAACUGAUUCCAGUCCACAAAUCGGUUUUUUGUUCACCUCUACAUUCUUGGUUUUAAAAUGCGCGCAUAAUGCGUGAUGCGCACGAUGCAUUAAUGAGAGCGCAUUGCAACAGCUGAUGCGAUGCGUUUACGUGAUGCGAGAAUAUUGCGCGCAUUUCGCAUAAUGCGCUCUGAUGCAUGCAACAUUGUUUCUUAUGCUUUUUUACCAGAUUUUAUGAACUUUGUUCGGUUUUUUCCAUAAUUAACAUCUUAGUAUGCUUGAUUUGAACCAAAAAACACAACUCUUAUCUUCUAAUUACGUCAGUUGUUUUACUUUAAGUAUGUUUUUAUAAGUUUUUAUGUAUAAAUAAUUUUUAACUAUUUUUUUUUUAAAGAAUGCAUCACCUACGUGAUGAUGCGCUUGCAUCGCGCAUCAGAUUUUUGGACUAAGCGCAUCGGAGCGCAUCACUCAAUUUAAAACCAAGCUCUACAUUUAUGUUGUGUUAUUCUCAAGUGAAUUGAGACUAGGGGGAGAUUUUGCUCUUGGCAUUUGAUCUUCUGAUCAACUAUGAGUUGGUGAUUUUGCUUUAUCUUUUUUCUGUUGGUGGUGGGGCUAACUGUUUAAAAGUACGAGGCAAUGAUGAUAAACGUAGCCUGAGCAAAAUUGGAGUUUGUGGAACCGAUCUGUAUCUUGGCUGGGCAAUCCAGAUGGCAAUUGUUGUGUUUGGAGAUUCUCUCAUGAAUACUUUGCAACUGUGAUUGCAGCCAUGGUGGAUUGGGCAAAAACAAGUUCCAUUGUUACAGAUCUGAGCCUCUGUUUGUAUUGCAACAUUGAAAAGAGCAACUUUGAUUAAAAAUCACAAGUGAGUCAUGUACAAUAAAUCAGGGUUUGGGGGAACUGAAAGCUCAGGCAACACAAGUGAGGCAGCAGAGGGAAGGGGUUUUUCAUGGGGUGUUGCCCCCCUCAGCAGCCCAUGAUCUUCCAUUUGACCACAAAAUUUAACACCCUUUUCUGUAUAGGAACAUGAACAUACAUACUGAAGAACAUUUUUUGCACAUCAAGCCUUGGACAUAAGGCACAUAACACUCAGCAAUUGAUACAAAGGCCGAUCAGUGCGUGUACUCCCUUGUCUUUCGGCUAUCCACGUCACCACCACAUGAUGCAUGAUUAACCAUCCCCCUCGUUUAACGAUAUUUUCACGAAAUUAGUAAAAUAACGUUAAAAUUAGUGCACUUUCACUCCCCCCCCCCCAGCUCCCACAUAUAUACACGUUAUAUGCGAAUACUGCAAGCGGGGCGUUAAUUAACAUGGCUAUGACGAUGGGAAUUAUUUUGAAUAAAAUCGGAAUUUAUAUCUGAUCCGUAUCCUGGCUAGGCAACUCGGUCGGUAUGUAUAUGAUACAUGCAACUGUGAUUGCAGCCAUGGCGGAUUCGGGCCAAACAAGUUCCAUUUCUUCUUAUUUUUGCUAUCAGUGUUUUAAGUCUUAAUUGUUAGUGUUAAAUGUUAGCGUUUUGUGUCUUAAUCAGUUCCUACUUGCUACAAUUGUUAGUGUUUUGCAAGUUGCAAAAAGUUAAUUUGUUAAUGGUAGGAGAGCAUAUCGAACUAUUAGUGUUAAAUUGCUAUAUAUAUAUAAGUUCAUGAUAUUAAAAUUACCGAGAUCCCACGGCGAUAACAGAUAUCCGUUUUUUACGGCAUUAAUUGCAUAGUUAUGUUGAUGCUGUUGCUACUGCUGCUGCUGUUGUUUUAUUUGAAAAGGCUAUGACGAUGAAAUUAUUUCGAGCAAGAUCGGAAUUUACAGAUCUGAUCCUUUUCUUGGCUAGGCAACUCGGUCGGUAUGUAUAUGAUACAUGCAACUGUGAUUGCAGCCAUGGCGGAUUUUGACAGUAAAUUCCGAUGAUAACAUAUCUGAGCCUCAAAACCUUUGCAGCCCAUUAUUUUCGAUUUUCCCCCAAAUAUUCAACACCAUAUAUGAUACCCAUGCCUUCUGUCUACCGUACAUUUUCAUCCCUGUGAUCUUGUUGCUUCCUUCAAAUAUUAUUUUCCCACAAUACAAUGGAAACAUAUUGGUAUUCUUUUGGUAUUGUUCCUUGUAGAGGCUACAUUAUGAUGAAUUUGUCGUUGUCUGAGUGGAUCGAACGAAGGUUGAAACAGACCGUAUCUUGGUGGGGAAAUAUCCGGAGGCUUCUAUUUGAAGCAAACGUGAUGUUUGCAGCCAUGGCGGUAAAAUGCCAAUUUUUACACUGCAUAAAAAAGAGUAAAAUGCCAUUUUCAUCCCUGAGGUUUGGUCAGUUUUGCAACUUUUGUCCAAAGGUUUGUUUUUUCACAUCUGGAUCCAAAAGGUUUGAAAUCUGGCCAUUUUCAUCCGGCUCGUUAAUUCCAUCCAUUUUUCUCCGUUAAGUCAGAGGUAUUUUCGUACAUAAAGUGAAAAUGACCAAAUUGCCCUUUGUUGUUGUUGUUGUUCUAUAUAUAAAGAAUAUGAUGAUGGAAAUUAUUUCAAGCGAAAUCGGAAUUACAGGUCUGAUCCGUAUCUUGGCUAGGCAACUUGGUCGGUAUGUAUUUGAUAGAUGCAACUGUGAUUGCAGCCAUGGCGGAUUUUGAAAAUAAAUUCCAAUGAUAAUAUAUCUGAGCCUCAAAACCUUAAAAUGCCAUUUUCGUCCCUGAGGUUUGGUCAGUUUUGCAACCAGUAGCAGGUAAACGGGCAACAAGCUAUGCCGCAAACCCUUUUGAAUAGCAAAACCGAACCUACUAAAGAGGGAGGAGUUCUCAAACUGGUGGUCGGUUUGAAACUGGACCAGUUUCACCAAACCUGUUUCAUAAUCGGUUUCGGGUCGGGUCAAAACUGGUUCCAGUUCACAAACCGGUGUUUUGUUCACCUCUACAUUUAUAAUAGCCUCCUUAAAAUAUGAGAUGAGGUGUUAUACUGUGUUAUUCUCAUGUGAACCGAGGCAAUGAUGAUAUAUGUAGGUUGAGCAAAAUAGGAGUUUGUGGAACCGAUCUGUAUCUUGGCUGGGCAAUCCAGUUGGUGAUUGUUGUGUUUGGAGAUUCUCUCUGGAGUUUGCAACUGCAAUUGCAGCCAUGGUGGAUUGGGCAAAAACAAAUUCCAUUGCUACAGAGAAGUGAGGCAGCAGAGGGAAGGGUUUUUUUAUGGGGUGUUGCCCUCCUCAGCAGUCGAUGAUCUUCGAUUUCCCCCAAAAUUUAACACCCCUUUCUGGAUAGGAACAUGAACAUACAGACUGAACAACAUCUACUCAUUCUUUUUCUGGUAGUGCCAGCUGUAGCAUACUCGUACCCAGAAGCAGCGAUGCUUAAGGUGAUGAUGAAAUUCUUGUUGCCUGAGUGGAUCGAACAAAGCUUGAACCAGACCGUAUCUUGGCGGGGUAACUUCCGGAGGCUUCUACUAUUGAAGCAGCCGUGAUGUUUGCAGCCAUGGCGGCUUGCUCUUCUUUGUUCUCAUUAGUAACAGAUCUGAGCCUCUUUUAAUUCUUGUUUUUUUAUUUUUCAUAUUUUGUUUUAAUUUAGAUUCGGGGAUUUGACUUUUGAUAAUAAUGUUUUACAAUUUAGUAAUUAAUAAUAUAUAGUUUAGAGUUUAAGAAUGAAAAAGUUUAAAUUGAUGGCACGUAAAAACAAACUCCAAAAUCAUAUAGUUUGAUUAGAUUUAUAAAUAUAUUUUAUACUUUAUUUUUUUACAGUUCUUUUCUCCAUGAUUUGAUUUAAUUUAGAUUUGGGGUUUGCACUUUUAAUAAAAACUGUUACAGUUUAGUUAGAUUUUAAGUAUGAUUUAGGAUUCUAACAAAUCUGAGGUGUUUGUUAUAUUGUGUUUUG